UCCGUCGACUUUAUAAAUCGUGAAUGUACAAAUGACCAGCUUUGAGCAAAUGA
rnacentral:tRNA from 2 species